GGCUGCGGGAGCCCGAGUCCUGACUUGGGUGCCCCCUCCUCAGUCCUCCAUCACCACCGUGUACUUCAUUGCUGGCCUGGUUCUCGGAGUUGUGCUCCCUGGAGCUGUGGUGGCUGCAGCUGUGAUAGGGAGGAAGAAGCGCUCAGGGGGACAAGGAGGAAGCUACACUUAGGCUGCAGGCAGCGGCAGCGCCCAGGGAUUUGAUGUAUUUUUCAGCCCCUAAGGAUCUUUUACGAUGAACCUGAUGAGGCUCCUGUUUGCACACCCUGGACAGUAGGGUGAUGGUGUCACUGUUGUUCUUAACUGUGAUAAUUGAGCAUUUGUUCAUAUUUUUAUUUUUCUAUUUCUGCAUAGUUGUUAUGUCUAUGGAGGUCAAUUUUUUUUUUAAGAUUUAUUUAUUCAUGCUUCCAAGAACCGGGGUAUAGGCCAGAUGCUCAGGAGAGUGAGAAAAUUCACCAGAGACAGAGUGGGGAAUAGAACAGGCAGACCGGCGAAAUACACUGCUCAGGGGAGCAGCAGGUGCGACAGGGGAGGUCUACCGUGCCAUGUGGGAUUCUUGCCUGCCGGCUGGGAUCAAACCUGCAUUGCAGAGCCUGCAGGCAGCUUCACAGCACUGCGCUCAACCACCAGCACCACUUCUGGGAGGCCAAGAAGUCAUUUUUUUUUUUGCUAUGUUUAUAACACUGUUUUUGUCCUUAUUAAAAUUGGGUUAUUUCUUGUUGAUCAUUGAGUUUUAAGCAUUAUUUGUAAAUUCUCGAUACAGUCCUUUAUCAGUCCUUUAUCGUGAUAUGCAAAUGUUUCCCCCCCUCUGUGACCUGAACUUCUGUAUUGAUGGGAAAACAAGCAUUAUUGUCCAGACAGAAGCAUGGAUAUAUUUUUUCAGAAGAGAAAAAAUAAAUUGCUAAUUGGUUUUGAGCAGAUACUGGCUGACUGGGAU